CCUACGGGCGGCAGCAGUGGGGAAUAUUGCACAAUGGGGGGAACCCUGAUGCAGCGACGCCGCGUGGGUGAAGGAGUAUUUCGGUAUGUAAAGCCCUAUCAGCAGGGAAGAACAAUGACGGUACCUGACUAAGAAGCACCGGCUAAAUACGUGCCAGCAGCCGCGGUAAUACGUAGGGUGCAAGCGUUAUCCGGAUUUACGGGGUGUAAAGGGAGCGCAGGUGGCGCGUUAAGCCUGUUGUGAAAGUCCGCGGCUCAACCGCGGGACUGCAGUGGGAACUGGCGAGCUGGAGUGCAGGAGGGGUAGGCGGAAUUCGUGGUGUAGCGGUGAAAUGCGUAGAUAUUAGGAGGAACACCAGUGGCGAAGGCGGCCUACUGGACGGUGACUGACGCUGAGGCUCGAAAGUGUGGGGAGCAAACAGGAUUAGAUACCCGAGUAGUC
rnacentral:rRNA from 1 species